GGGGGGGGGGGGCUGGGGGGGCUUGAGCACCUGCCCUUUUUGCUCCUUGCCCUAAAGUGCCCUUUUGGUCCAAUUUUUUUUUUUUUUUUAAAGUUAAUUUCCCAAGCCCUCCUCUGAUAUGUACUAAAAUUAUUAUUUUUUGUUGUUGUUGUUUUUAUUUAAAGAAAAACAACAUAAUAAGCCCUUCGGGUCACCUUGUUACCUUUGACCUUUUGUCCGUGACGCAUGACGCAGCUGCCUCCCGCUCAGUCAGUGAGACUGCGCAGUAGCUUACUGCGGAGCUCAACGUGGAGGAGGAAGGAAGGAAAAUUCAAAGAUGCCACGUAAAGAAAGACGGCAGAAACAAAAAAGAAAAGAAUUGAUAGAUGCAGCAAAAGGUAGUGGAUUGUUGACCGACUGGGUCAGAACGAGUACUGCAGAUGGACAGAAGGAAAGUGAUAGAUCAGAGGAGGAGACAAAAAUGCAGUCAACAACACAGGAAGACAGGCAAGGAGAGGGACAACAGUCAGAAAUAAACACUAUGGAUGAAAAUGCAGAGCAACAAGUCAGAGAGAAGCCAUUCAUAUUUUUAAUGGACCUUCCACACCCAAAUGACCCAGCACAUGUCUUGCAAUUCAACAUAAAAUAUGAUGAAGCAUUUAUCCAAAAUUGUGUAAACCAAGGACCAUGCCAACCAGAGCUGUCAUUUCCUAAAAAUGAAGAAGGAAGGUCUUUUCAGAAUAAAUGGUAUAAGAGUAA